GGCAAUGCUGCAUAAUACUAAUUGAGUGUAUAUAAACUUAUGACCCACUGGGAAUGUGAGGAAAGAAAUAAAAGCUGAAAUAAAUCAUUCUCUCUAAUAUAAUUCUGACAUUUCAUAUUCUUAAAAUAAAGUGGUGAUCCUAACAGACCUAAGACAGGGAAUUUUUACUCUGAUUAAAUGUAAUAAAUUGUGAAAAACUGGGUUUAAAUGUAUUUGGGUAAAGUGUAUGUAAACGUCUGACUUCAACUGUAUAUAAACACUGGAAAUGGAAUUCUAAGCAUCACUCCAGUCAGAAAAGGCUCUGCGAACGUUUGUUUCCAUUAAUUUGCUAUGGGCUCGCGCUAGCUUAGCCAAUGUCCUUUUGCCAUUUUUCAGCCUUGGAUGAAUUUGGACUUGUUCUAUUGUCCAACCUAAUCUUAUCUCAUGCUUGCAUGGUGAUUGAGUUAGCUAGUGUUACUGUACUAUUUUUCAAUGGUUUCUGACAGUGGCUUUAGUAGGACUUGUGGAGUUGAGGAGGAUCGAUACCAUUUCUGUUAACUAAUGUUAGCUACCUAACGUUAGCUUAACUUCAAUUUAAUGUAGCCAAGUUAGUGUAGCUAUCUAGCUAUGUUUCUAACAUUUCUUUAUUUCUGUUCUUAAAUGCAGAGUCAAGGCCAGUGAAUGGACAGCUUUGUAAAGAUACCCUGAAUGAGUGGAACCUGGCCUCUUUCAUUACAAAGUUUGAUGUGGAAGAGAUGGAACACGAAACGCUCUUGCUGUUGGAGGACUCGACUAUAGCCUGAAGUUAAAUGCAAGUAAAAUGUGAGAGGGCAGCACAGAUGACCAAGUGGCUGAACAACGUUUGCGGAGUACAUGAAAGAGACCAUGAUCCAGAGGGCUCAGUGUACCAGACAGAAUGGGGCCAAGACAGUCUGAGAGUAUUCGUGUCUACUGGAUACUCCAGGCAUGGUGGGUUAAAUAUUUUACAAAAACAGACUUGAAUUUGAUUCUGUUUGCUGUGAUUAACUAGCCUGGCUGAAGCGACCCACGUGACUCACAGUGCAGGGAGAGCUGUGACCACACUGGGCUGGAAAGGAGGCUGUUUGUUAUUGCAAUAUUUGCUAAUAAAUUGUACGACAGGGUUUGAAUGGUUCUCUCAAAUGUUUUUUUGAGAACUCUCAUUGUUUGGAUUUGAAAAUCCAACCAUUGUAAUAGAAGGGGGUGGCGCUCAGGGGCUGUGUGUGGCUGUGGGUGUUUGAGUGAGAAGGAACCAGAGGAGAGUAAACCAGUAAAAGCACAGACCCCUUCAUUAUCGACUCAUUGUGACGACAACAUCAAAUAAAUCAGGUGGACUUCAAUAGUUAUGUGUUAGCCAUAACUAGUGAUGGAAAAGUAGUUGUUUGUCUGGUUUCACCAUAACACAAUUUUGAGUCUCACAGGCAUUAGAAACAGCAUUGCAUGUGGAUAUGGUGGGAACAUGUGGAUCUGAGCAAGUGUGAUGUCAUUGAUGUUUGUUGAUACGUAUGUAAAUGUGAAGUUGUCUAUUGUUUUUGUCAAUGCAUGUUGUUUCUUAAAAAUAUUAUUUUUUAUGUUGUUUUUUUUACAAAGUUGUUGUCUGCUUUACUAAUGAUUACUCAAGACUUCUCAAUUUAAACUGCCUGGGGAAACUCACUGAUAACUGGAUCACGGUCUUCAAGGACAAACAACUUUGCUUUGUUAGCCCAGAGAAAAGCAGGCCCAAUAUCUUCUCUUUGAAGUGCAGGUAUAGUUUUAAUUGACCCUGCUGGUGGUGUCUCAGAUGCUCAUUUAUUUUUAACCUGAAACAAUCAAGUUAUUCACUAAACAUUCUUCUCUCCAGAAACACAAGGUGACAUCGCUUUAACACUUCUACCAGUGGUCCUCCCAACACCAGUCUACAUGAUAGGCAGGAAAACAUUCCGACCCAGCUUCAAUGAGAUCAGAACGUCUUUCCUUGAUUUGCGGCCUGUAAGUUUAAAUAGUGGAUAGGCAUAGGGAAAGUGAUGGGGAAAUUAGAUGAUGGCAUUUUGUAAACCUUGAAUGAAAUGUACAGCAUUCCAAAAUCAUAACUGCACACUCCAAGACAUAAGGUAGGUUUCCAUCCAAUUUGCGACAGAUAUUAAUGCGCAUAUUCUCAAAUCUGCAUAAAAAACAAUCAAAUCAAAUGUUAUUUGUCACAUGCUCCGAAUACAACAGGUGUAGUAGACCUUACCGUGAAAUGCUUACUUAUAAGCCCUUAACCAACAAUGCAGUUUUAAGAAAAUAGUUAAGAAAAUAUUCACUAAAUAAACUAAAGUAAAACAUUUAAUGAAAAGUAACACAAUAAAAUAACAAUAACGAGGCUAUUUACAAGGGAUACCGGUACCGAGUCAAUGUGCGGGGGUACAGGUUAGUAAUUUGUGCAGGUUAAUAAUUUGUGCAGAUAAUAAACAGUAAGUAGCAGCAGUGUAAAAACAAAGUGGGGGGGAUCAAUGUAAAUAGUCCGGGUGGCCAUUUGAUUAAUUGUUCAGCAGUCUUAUGGCUUGGGGGUAGAAACUGUUAAGAGCCAUUUGGACCUAGACUUGCGGUAGCAGAGAGAACAGUCUAUGACCUAGGUGACUGGAGUCUUUGACAAUUUUUUGGGCCUGACACUGCCUAGUAUAUACAGUACCAGUCAAAAGUUUGGACACACCUACUCAUUCAAAGGUUUUUCUUCUCUACAUUGUACAAUAAUAGUGAAGACAUCAAAACUAUGAAAUAACACAUAUGGAAUCAUGUAGUAACCAAAAAAGUAUUAAACAAAUCAACAUAUAUUUUAUAUUUGAGAUACGUCAAAGUAGCCAUGAAGCAUGGAGGAGGAGGUGUGGGGGUGCUUUUUUGCUUUAGUGACACUGUCAGUGAUUUAUUUAGAAUUCAAGGCACACUUAACCAGCAUGACUACCACAGCAUUUUGCAGUGAUACGCCAUAGUAAGUGCUCAGCAUAUGUGAGAACUCCUUCAAGACUGUUGGGAAAGCAUUUCAAGCAUUCCAAAUGCCAUGCCACAGUUGCCCUUAGUUGACCCGAAUGUGGGUAAUGAUGAGAGAUGGUUUAUGGAAAACUAAUGUCGAUUUUGUGAUUCAAAUUUUUAUAAAAAUAUAAAUAUUUGUAUAUAAAUAUUUGUGUAUAUAUAUAAAUAUUUGUAACUUGAACAGUAUACACACUGUGUAUGUCAGGUUUUCAUCCUUUACGUUGUGUAGGAAAUAACAAAGAUGAUGUUAAUAUUUUUGUUUAGAUAGGAAUGUGAUUUUAGUUUUCUAACGAGAUUGUAGUUUUGAAGAUACGUUGACCCAGUAAGUAGCCAGGCCCGAGGGAGCUCAGAGAGCGUGUCAGCAUGAUGGAAACACCCCCAUUUUACCAGAACGUACAAAGGAUGAGUUGAGAAUUAACAUAUCAGACCAGAAGGACCCAAGGUGCAGCUUAGGUCUCCAUUGGUUACGACUCUGAAAAUCAACACGAGGUGAGGACGACAAUGUAGCCUCUCUAACAAUCAAUAUUACGGCUGAGUAGCUGUUCUAAGUACUAUAUCUAAGAAAGUGAAUAGGAUCAUCCUGUUACUCUCUUCAAAUCAUUGUCUACUACGCUGCUCUCAUCACCCCACUGGGGAUCAUCAACAUGGCUGAUGAGCUGUCUUCAGAGGACCCCUCUUUCUUGGAGUGAAAGUUAACACCACUCCGUUAGUCUGCUUCAGACUACAGUACAAGGCAUUCAAGCCACGGUUAACUAAGAAGAAGGACAUUGUGACCUCUUGUGGACAAUCAGAGCCUUCAACUUAAGAGCUCGGGAGAAGGCCAACGGAACCCUUUCCACGAAGGCCUGGGUCCAACAAAGAUAAACAACAAAGGAAGACAUCCAAACACGUACAUACAUUAUUUCUUACCCCCAACGGGUGGCGGUUCGGGGCAAAGUAUUAUGAUUACCGUGAGCGUAGUUCCAAGUGUAUAAGUUUGAUCAGGAACACAAGUUCAAAAACAAGCUCUUCAAGACUCUAAAACAGCUUUCAGAAGUGGGAGACUCGAAGAGAUGGAGAAAUGCGAGUGGAAAGA
rnacentral:lncRNA from 13 species